rnacentral:rRNA from 1 species
GACGAACGCUGGCGGCGUGCCUAACACAUGCAAGUCGAACGAUCCUUCGGGAUAGUGGCGGACGGGUGAGUAACACGUGGGAACGUGCCUUUAGGUUCGGAACAACACAGGGAAACUUGUGCUAAUACCGGAUAAGCCCUUCGGGGAAGGAUUUAUCGCCUUAGAGCGGCCCGCGUCUGAUUAGCUUGUUGGUGAGGUAAAGGCUCACCAAGGCUACGAUCAGUAGCUGGUCUGAGAGGAUGGCCAGCCACAUUGGGACUGAGACACGGCCCAAACUCCUACGGGAGGCAGCAGUGGGGAAUCUUGCGCAAUGGGCGAAAGCCUGACGCAGCCAUGCCGCGUGGAUGAUGAAGGUCUUAGGAUUGUAAAAUCCUUUCAGCGGGGACGAUAAUGA